GUGCUGGCUUUGGCAGCACAUAUCCUAAAAUUGGACUGAUACAGAGAGCGUUAGUUAGCAUGCAAGGGUGACAUGCAAAUUGGUGAAGCAUUCCACAUUUUU